CCUUGUGUAGAACUCAGUCCCAGUCAGCAUACAGCAUGGACAUGAGGGCCCCUGCUCAGCUCCUGGGGCUUCUGCUGCUCUGGCUCCCAGGUGCCAAAUGUGACAUCCAGAUGACCCAGACUCCAUCCUCCCUGUCUGCAUCUCCAGGAGACACAGUCACCAUCAAUUGCAGGGCCAGUCAGGGCAUUAGCAGUUGGUUAGCCUGGUUUCAGCAGAAACCAGGGAAAGCUCCUAAGCGGCUGAUAUACAAAGCGUCUAAUUUAGGAUCAGGUGUCCCAUCCAGGUUCAGUGGCAGUGGAUCUGGGACAGAUUACUCUCUUACUAUCAGCAGCCUGCAGGCUGAAGAUUUUGCCACUUAUUACUGUAUGCAGUAUGAUAAGUUUCCUCCCACAGUGAUACAAGUCAUAACAUAAACC